UACGGGGGGGGCAAGCGUUGUUCGGAAUUACUGGGCGUAAAGCGUCCGCAGGUGGCACUUCAAGUCUGUCGUCAAAGACUGGGGCUUAACCCCGGAAAGGCGGUGGAAACUGAAGCGCUAGAGUGCGGUAGGGGUAGAGGGAAUUCCCGGUGUAGCGGUGAAAUGCGUAGAGAUCGGGAAGAACAUCGGUGGCGAAAGCGCUCUACUGGACCGCAACUGACACUCAGGGAUGAAAGCUAGGGGAGCGAAUGGG
rnacentral:rRNA from 1 species